UGGAGAGGCAGCAGAUGAAGACUCCCAGACUCGACCAGACACCGGAGUUUACGGGAACGAGAGGAGUUAUGGGCAAGGAGAUUAGUGUUGAAGUCACCCAUGAUUAUGUGAUGAGCGUAAUCCGAACCCACAGAUUCCAGUACCGAUUCGAAUUCGGCGAAAUAAUCGACCAAAGGAGGACAAUAGACAACGCCCAGAACAAUCUUUACCCCCCGGACACAAACCUCAAGAAAUAUAUAUUCCGCAGCACAUCCAGAGUUUGAUGUGAAGAGAGUUUUAUAACAAAAUUCGCUGCGCAGAUAUAUGGCCACACCACCCCCUCGUCCCUCAGUGCGGUCAUUGCGAACUAGAACAUAUCCAGUUAAGGGGUAGUUUGUUGAUGGUAAUUGAGGCUUGAGCCAGGUUUCGGAUAUCAAGACGGCAUGCACAUCACUGUUGUUAAAUGCCUCAUAGAGGUCAUUGUAGUGACUGGGCACACUCUGGGCAUUUAUGUGGCAUACGUUCAAUAAGCGACGAUCUUGGUUACUAAAUUGUUUCUUGAGAGUGUCACCCAGAGUGCCCCCCAACGAACAGUAACCGUCACCCUCAGAAAAACUACUUUCACUCGCAGAUACAAAAGAAUCAGCAUCAGACAUGUAUAUGUAUAUAUAAAUAUAGAAAAAUAUAGAUAAUAAUAGAUAUUAAUAAAUAAACGUAGCUAAAUAACACAAAAUAUAUCAAACGUUAAGAAGGUGUUUACCACUGAAAGCAUGCAACUCUGCACCACCCGCCAGCUAACAUCAACAAAACAAAAGAAGAAAACAAAAAGAUGAAAAACAAAGACAACAACAACACAAUUAAUUACAGUUCUAUGAUCACAUUUCCGAACGUGCAAACUUCAACGAAUGACAGCUUGAGAACUGAUAGAUGACAAUGUCAUCUGUCAUUAUGACAUUAUAUAAUUCCGCUUGACGACAAUGCAAUGCAAACAAUUUAUUAACAUGAGGGUGAAAAGAAAUUUAAAAACAUUAAGUUAAACAUAUGGAAUUUAUGGAAGAUACUGGAAAUUUUUAUAAUUAGUAACGUCAUUGAUAACAGAUUGGAACAAAGAAAGUGAAAUAAUCGUAUUAGCAGUGGGUAGAGGUAUCAAAAGUUCUCAAGUCUUGUGAAAUUAUACAACAUGCAAACAAAGAACUAAUGAGGUAUUAUAAGCAAUGGAAAUGAAAGAAAAAUACAAUCAAAACUACAAGGCUCGCCACGUUCGCUUCCCCACGCCCGGCUGCAGGCUCCGGCACUCCUGCCACCUUCGGGUAUUUGCUGAGGAGAGGACUUAGAUCCCCAGAGCAUUUUACCUUAUGCUUAGCGCCGUCUGCUGUCUUCAGGAAGAUAUUGCCAUCCUGCGUCCAACAAGCACGUAUGCCGAAGUGAUGGCGCGCCCUGACAAACAACUCCUGUCUGGAUCGUGUUAAAAACUCACGCACAGAAGUUUUAGAGCCCCGAAGACCAGUUUUAGCUCGCCAGACCAAAGCCUUAUUUUCGAUGGUUGUGAACCGCACCAGGAUUGGUCUAGGAAGAUCUUUAGUGCCUGCUCCCAGUCGACGGCUUGUCUUGAUUGCAGACGAUGGAAGAUUGAGUUGUAGCCUGGUGUUUAUAAUUUCCAGUACUACCUUGCUGCAGUCCUCCUCCUUAACUUCGGGUAUACCCAGAAACACUAAAUCUUUACGUCGGUGCCGUGUCUCCUGGUCAUCAGAACACUUGCAGCACUCUGAGAUUUGUCUCCGAAGCGUGCCCAAAAUGUUAUAGACCAGUACCCGGAAGACUCGAAACUCCUCCGCUAUCUUGGCCACUGUGUCCUUACCAGGGCCGGCUGCCUCAAUUUGAUCAUUGAUCUCAUCCAUCCUCGCCAAUAACCUCUCCUCCAUGGACAGAUUGGUGGUUAUAAGAUCAGCGUGCGACAUUGUGGGUGUGAAGUGCCUGGUUGCCUUAGUGAAUAGAUGUGCUGGCAGGUGGUGGCUAAGUUGAACUAUUAUGUCACAUAGACGUUGUAACUAUUAAUAUUUUUGUAUAAUUUUUACUAUUUAACCUAAUACUGGAUAAUGCACUUUAAAACUAAUUUAAUCAAUUUAUGCAAUUUAUUUUCGCAAUAAACAAAUUACGCGUG